UUCCAGACUUGGCCGCGAUUGCUACCGU
rnacentral:sRNA from 1 species